AGCAAUUGGAUGUCCAACUCGGGCCUAUAUGACAUGACCGAUCAAUAGAUCCACCUUUGU
rnacentral:tRNA from 1 species